rnacentral:rRNA from 2 species
UGGGGAAUAUUGCACAAUGGGCGAAAGCCUGAUGCAGCAACGCCGCGUGAGCGAUGAAGGCCUUUGGGUCGUAAAGCUCUGUCCUUGGGGAAGAAAAAAAUGACGGUACCCUUGGAGGAAGCCCCGGCUAACUACGUGCCAGCAGCCGCGGUAAUACGUAGGGGGCAAGCGUUAUCCGGAAUUAUUGGGCGUAAAGAGUGCGUAGGUGGUCAUGUAAGCGCGGGGUGAAAGGCAAUAGCUCAACUAUUGUAAGCCUUGCGAACUGCAUGACUUGAGUGCAGGAGAGGAAAGUGGAAUUCCUAGUGUAGCGGUGAAAUGCGUAGAUAUUAGGAGGAACACCAGUGGCGAAGGCGACUUUCUGGACUGUAACUGACACUGAGGCACGAAAGCGUGGGGAGCAAACA